rnacentral:rRNA from 1 species
AGCGAACGCUGGCGGCAGGCUUAACACAUGCAAGUCGAGCGGGCACUUUCGGGUGUUAGCGGCGGACGGGUGAGUAACGCGUGGGAACGUGCCCUCUGGUUCGGAAUAACUCAGGGAAACUUGAGCUAAUACCGGAUACGCCCUUUUGGGGAAAGGCUUGCUGCCGGAGGAUCGGCCCGCGUCUGAUUAGCUAGUUGGUGAGGUAACGGCUCACCAAGGCGACGAUCAGUAGCUGGUCUGAGAGGAUGAUCAGCCACACUGGGACUGGGACACGGCCCAGACUCCUACGGGAGGCAGCAGUGGGGAAUAUUGGACAAUGGGCGCAAGCCUGAUCCAGCCAUGCCGCGUGAGUGAUGAAGGCCUUAGGGUUGUAAAGCUCUUUUAUCCGGGACGAUAAUGACGGUACCGGAGGAAUAAGCCCCGGCUAACUUCGUG